CUCCAGCCGUAAUCCCCCCUCGAGUCGAGUCCUCCAUGCGAAAUCACACCAGCCAUUAGCCGUCUCACCGCGAAUCCCCCUAUGGUUAUUCGGUCUAUUUCCUUCUCGCUGCAUUUCUCAGCUUCUUCUCUUUUUGCUUCAAUGCGUUCUUCGCUUUCCCCUUUGGUGUUGAGGGGAUCUUAUUUUUUGUGGAAGAGGAUUAGGGUUUCGCCAAGAGCUGGCAGAUGACGACAAGCAAGACAGGGACUCUGCAGCGCCCUCGAUUUCAGAUCGGGGGUCGCGAAUGAUGCAUUCCGUCUAGGGGAAUCUCCGAUGCUAUUCCCAAUUUCCUCCCGCACCAUCUUUGCUUUGUUUCUGCAUAAAUAGGCUGUAGUGUUUCGCCUCGUGAACAGAAGAAACUAGCAUAUGACGAUAAGCAAGACAGGGACUCUGCAGCGGCCCCGGCCGCGAAUGAUGCAUUCGUCUAGGGGAAUCUCUGAUGCUAAUCUAAGUCACGCCAUCUUCUCUCUUGGUCUCGGCCUGAACGCACCUGAACCCCACUGGCGUUUGCUAGCUUUUUUUCCACUUUGUAUUUUAAUCUGAUUUAUGAAUCUGUGCCGCAACAAAUUUGGUACAAGCAUAACUAGCAUAAGACGAUAAGCAAGACAGGGAUCUCUGCAGCGCUCCUGAUUUCAAAUCGGCGGCGCGGAUGAUGCAUCCGUCUAGGGGAAUCUCUGAUGCUAUUUUCACUUCACUUGCUUUUUUCUCCCUGUUUUUUUGUCUUCUGUUGUUUUGAUUUAGCUGCCUGUACCAGUGUUCAAUACAGUAUGAGCAUUUCGCAGUGAUUUCCUUUUAACUUGGCACCUUGUUGUUGCACUGAACUGUCAGCCUGAUGAUUAUCCUCGAGAACGGAGAUCUGAAUCCAUUUCUCCGUUGAAGCCCGCUUGGCCGCCGUGCUUGACCUGUCAUGGCAUUUGUUUCUUGGCUGGGUUUCUCUCAGGAGUAAAUUGCAAAACCCCCAACAUUCAACAUGCAUGCAUGCAUGCAUCUCGCGCACACACACACACACACAUACAUGUAUGCACGAAGCAGGCCGAAUGGGCUCCGGGAAUGGAUGUGUAGAAGCAAAAGUUAUGAAGGCUUUGGCAGAUCGGGUGAAUGCCCCCCACUAGAUUCAUGGUUUACUUGUUUAUAAGUAGUGUUUGGUAUCAGUUCACCUUUAAUGGUUCAAUGCCUGGUGGUUUGCUGUAGAAAUUAUCAUGCGAGUAUUAUUUGGAUCUGAACAUAACUUAUGUGUGAAUUGUAGUGCUUAUGUUUGGACAUCGCGAAGAUUAAAAGAAACGAGAACGAAGGCCAGAGUACGUAAAGAGUAUUCAUUUAUCAAAUACGGAACCUCGUGUGCUUGGCUAGCCUGAUGAUUACAUUACCUUUGGAUAAAGAAUAAAGUUCUGAGAUCUCAGCUCCGUUGAAGCUCACCUAGCUUAGGCUGCUGUGGUGGAUCCUACUCCCUCCUUCCAUAAAUAAUGUAGCAAUUUGCUCUUGGGAGUAAAUUGUUGGAACAUACAUGCACAACACACAUGUGUGUAUAUAUAUAUAUAUAUAAUCUUCCACCAACCUGGCUGGCUGGGCUCCGGUGAGAGUGUUUGAAGCCACAAAAAGUAUGAAGGCUUUGCCAAUGCAUAGUUCUUGGUUCUGUAAUAUUAUUCUAGUUGAGUUGUCUGGCCUCUGUAUUAGCUAAUCUCAAAUGCACAACUUAUUUUAAAUCGUUGCUUUUUCCUUGUUUCAUGUUGAUGUUUGCAGUCAGAUAUAUUGGCUUUGACAUUGGAGCAUUUUGAUCUAGCUGCCUGUUAAUGUAAAUGCACUUCCCUGUUGAAGCCUGCUUGGCCACUCUGGUGCAUUGGCAGUUCCAAGGUUUUAUAGGAAUUGAGAUGCAUGUCAUCUCACUUCAUAUGAUUUUUCUAUCCCCAUGAUAUUCCUAACCAAAGGAGGCCUUAAUUUCCUUUGACCGAGCUGACUGAUCAAAAGAAUGCUCUCCUAUGUGUUUGUAUAGAGUUUUGCAACUCUGAUUGCUUAACUGCCAUUUGGCUGUACUUUUGGAGGGUCAGUAGGGUGUUUCUGCAGUGCCCUUAUUGUUGCUCUCAUUGGUUUGUGCACCUUGAGAUUAUAUUGUGUAUGUCUCAGCUGUGGUUGCUGGUUUCUUGUGUUAAUUUCUUCUGUAGUACUUCUGCCUGCAUUUUUUUAUUGAAUACAGUUUAAGCAUUUUGGAAUGGAAAAUGCUCAGUCUUGAGGCAUUUUGUUGUUGAGGUAUGUGGUUGGCUGAACUGCCAGCCUGAUGAAUAACCUAAGAAUGAAGAUCUGAAUACAAUUCUCCGUCAAAACCUGCUUGGACGCUGUGCUUUCUUUCUUUCUUCCAUUCUUGGCGGGGUUUCUUGGGUAAUCUCUGAUGCUAUUCUCACUUUCCUCCCAUGGAGUGUUUUGCCUUGUCAAAUUUUGUUUUAGCAUAUGACGAUAAGCAAGACAGGGACUCUGCAGCGGCUCUGGCUCAGAUCGGGGCCGUGAAUGAUGCAUUCGUCUAGGGGAAUCUCUGAUGCUAAUCUAAAUUCACAGUAUCUUUUCUCACUCUUCCACUGGUGUUUGCUAUUCGUAGCUGUUUAUCCCAUGGAUUUUAAUCUGAUGUUGUUUGCUAAAUUUGCGUUGCAACAAAUCCGGUACAAACAUAAUUGGCAAAUGACGACAAGCAAGACAGGGACUCUGCAGCGCUCCCGAUUUCAAGUCGGGGCUGUGAAUGAUGCAUCCGUCUAGGGGAAUCUCUGAUGCUAAUUUCCUUUUAUCUUUUUUCUCCUUGCAUUUUAUUAUCUUGAUUUAGGUGCUAUUAACUGUGGUAAAUACAGUGUGAGCAUUUUCACAAUGAUUUCUUUUAGCUGGAGGCACUUCCUUGUUCAGAUAAGUGGGGUUCCCUGAACUGCCAGCCUGAUGAUUAUCCUCAAGAAUGGAGAUCUGAACCCACUUCUCCGUGGAAGCCUGCUUGGCCGCUGUGCUUGUUGAAUAUCCUGGUUUCUUGGCUGCCCACCCUCAAUGGUUUAAUGCCCUGGUGUUUUGCUGUAGAAAUCAUCAUGGCAAUAUUUGUUGAGUUCUGAACAUAACUUACCUUCAAUGGUUUAAUGCCCUGGUGUUUUGCUGUAGAAAUCAUCAUGGCAAUAUUUGUUGGGUUCUGAACAAAACUUGUGUGAAUCGUUGUACUUAUGUUUGGACAUAGCAAGAUUAGCAGAUACAGGAAUCAAGGCCAGAAUAUGUAAUAGUAUCUGUUUAUCAAAUACGGAACCUUGUGUGCUUGGCCAGCCUGAUGAUUACACCUCUUCAUAAAGAAUGAAGUUCUGAGGUCUGAAUGCUCUUCUCAGCUCCGUUGAAGCUCGCCUAGCUUAGGUUGCUGUGGUGGAUCCUACUCCCUCCUUUCCUAAAUGAUGUACUCCCUCCGUCCACAAAUAUAAGAUGUGUACUCCCUCCUUGCUGAAUUGGAACAUGCAUGCACACACGCAUAUAUAUUAUCUUCCACCAACCUGGCUAGCUGGGCUCCGGUGAGAGUGUUUGGAGACACAAAAAGUAUGAAGGCUUUGCUAAUGCAUAGAAUUCUUGGUUUUGUAUUAAUGUUAUAGUUGAGAAACUUGUUUGGACUUUGUAUUAGCUAUCUCAAAUGCACAACUUCUUUGAAAUAGUUGCUUUUUUCUCAUUUCAUGUUGAUGUUUGCAUAUAUCUAUUUGCUUUGUCAUUGGAGCAUUCUGAUCUAGCUGUCUAAUGAUUACCAUAGUGUGCAUUGUACUAAGAAUGGAGAUCUAAAUGCACUUCUCUGUUGAAGCCUGCUUGGCCACUCUGCUACAUUGGCAAUUCCAGGUUUUUUUGGGGUAUCUGCUAGAGAUGCUCUUAACCUGCUGUUGCUGCUACCUCCAUCACUGGUGUUCCUUUGAAUGUUUUCCUUUGACUGAGCUGGCUAAGUGGACUCCAGGGAAUAAAUAUGUUGAAACAAGAAGUAUGAAUGAAGAUGCUUGUAAUUUCCUUUGACUGAGCUGGCUAAGCGGACUCCAGGGAAUAAAUAUGUUGAGACAAGAAGUAUAAAUGAAGGCUUGGCUGAUCAAAAGAAUGCUCCUAUAUGUUUCUAUAGCGUUUUGCAACACUGAUUGCCUAAUGGUCAUUAGGGUAUGUUUUGGAGGGCCAUUGGGUGUUUCUGCAGUGCCCUUAAAUUUCUAUUCUUGUGAUCUUUUCUGGCAACUGAAUAUUGUUGCUCUCAUUGGUGCACGUUGAGAUUUCCUUGUGUACCUCCACACAUGGUUGCUGAUUUCCUGUGUUAAUUUCUUCUGUAUUUCUUCUGCCUGGGUUUUUCAUUGAAAAAUUCUUAGCUGGAGCCAUUUGUUGUUGAUUGAGGUAGGUGGUUCAGUGAAUCCCGCAUGGCCUGCUGUGCUUGAUUGAUGCCUUCCCCCUCCUUUGUUUCUUGGCUGGGUUUCUCUUGGCAGUACAUUACAAACACCCCCCCACACACAUGUACACACAAAGCAGCCUAAAUGAGCUCUGGGAAUGGAUGUCUAGUAGCAAAAGCUAAAAGGCUUUGGCAGAUUGGAUGAAUGCCCCCCACUAGAUUCAUGGUAAGGAAAGAUUUGACCGGAUCUGAACGUAACUUCUUUAUGAAUUGUAGUACUUAUAUUUGGACUCGAGCAAGAUUAGCAGAUAUGAAAAUCAAGGCCAGAAUAUCUGAUAGUAUUUGUUUGUCAAAUACGGAACCUUGUGUGCUUGGCCAGCUUGAUCAAGGCUAGAAUGAAUAUCUGAUAGUAUUCGUUUCUCAGCUCCGUUGAAGCUAACGUAGCUUAGGCUGCUGCGGUGGUGGAUCCUACUCCUUCUGUUCCUAAAUAAUGUAGCAAUUUUUGGAUUUGAAUUGGAACAUGUAUGCACACUCUGGGCUCCUGUGAUGGUGUUUGGAGAUACAAAAAGUUUGAUGGCUUUUGGCAAAUGCACGGAAUGCUGAGUUCUGUAAUAGUAUUAUUCUAGUUGAGAGCGUUGUUUGGGCUCUGUAUUAGUUUUCUCAAAUGCGCCGCUUUGAAAUAUUUUUUUCUUGUUUUGUGUUGAUGUUUGCAGUUAAUAUAUUUGCUUUGUCCGUUGAGCAUUCUGGUCUAGCUGCCUGAUGAUUACCACUAAGAAUGGAGAUCUGAAUUCCCUUCCCUGUUGAAGCUUGCUUGGCUGCUUUGGUCGAUUGGCAAUUACAAGGGUUUUUUGGGGUCCGUUGGAGCUGCUCUUAACCUCCUCCUCCUGCUGCUGCUGCUGCUUCUUCUACCACUACUACUACUACCAUCACUUCAGUUCCUUGCAUGCUUGGAACUACUCAACCCUCCUAAACUCUUAAUUGCCUUUGACUGAGCUGGUUAAAUGGACUCCAGGGAAUAAAUAUGUUGAUGCAAGAACUAUGAAUGAAGGCUU